GUGUUUGUAGAAAGGAGAGAUGGCAUCUCUCCUGACAGGGACGGGAACAGCCUUUGGGCGUACCUGUUACCACACAUACGGUUAAGGCUUCCCACCUUCUAUGGUGCUUAAACCCAUUUUUACU